GGUGAGCUUCAGGCUGAAACCUCCUCCUCAGAAACUGUUCCCAAUAGCAAUUGAAGGUAGGGGAAUGAGUCCAGUGAGGCAGUAGGCUCUGCAAAGGUUGGUUCACAUUCUCGGUGUUACUUUCCACUAUAUAGAAAUUCAAAGGGAAGGAAUCGCAUCUCGAAACAACGCUAGUGUCAAGAUCUGACAGUCACUCCAUUUAUUGGAGCUGAAUAUCUUUUGCGGCGGUUCUCCUGCUGGAUUCAACUUAACUGUUUCAGGAGGCUUUAAGAAGGCAAAGCACCGAGACACCCCCAAACUAUUUUCACGCAAUUGCGCGCUCCCAGGCUCCUGGAAUGUGAUCGAUAGCAGAAGUCCGACCCUUCGUUGUUCUGUAUGAAGCCACCGGUGUGUGCGGUAGGUUCGGUAACUGGGUGGUUCCCUUCCUGCUCUGAGAGCAGAAACGGAGAUUACCAAGUCAUGGAAGAGAGACUCAGAACUGACGGACUUGAAUUCCCAGGGAUCAUUUAACCGCCUCACGUUCCCCAAAAAGCUGUAAAUCUCCAUCCGGCGCACUCUCCCACCUCUUGUGAUAAAAAUACAUUAUCCCAAUUCUCUCCAAGGUACCAGUUCAGGCUCAUGGCCUCAUGUCAUAGAACCACACAGCACAGAAACAGACCCUUCCGUCCAACCAGUCCAUAUCGAAU